GGGACUGCAAUGGUUUCUACAUAUUAAUAUUUUAUAUUAUUUUUAGUUGAUUUUUUUAUUUUUAUAAUAAAUAUACGUAAUAAAAUUAUUUACUAAUCGUAAAUUAAAUGCAAAACAUAAUAUUGUAGUUUUUUCUAAAAAUAAAAUAUUAGUUUAGUUUUUUAGAAUAUUAAGUUAUAUUUCUUAUAUAUAGCUUAAUAAUUGUAAAUAGGAUUAUCUUAUUGUGUUUUAUAUAAUUUAGUUAUUCUAAAUUUUAAAAUUCAUUAGUGAGUUAAGUAGAAGAAGCUUAAAACAUCAAAUUUAAUGUUAUCAAUUUUUGUAUAUUUAAUAAAUCAACAUAUGUAUUUUAUUUAAAAUAUUCUAUUUUAAUAUAGAAUAUUGAUAUGGACGUGGGUUCAAUUCCCGCCAGUUCCA
rnacentral:tmRNA from 1 species